UACGUAGGGUGCAAGCGUUGUCCGGAAUUAUUGGGCGUAAAGAGCUCGUAGGCGGUCUGUCGCGUCUGCUGUGAAAACUCGGGGCUUAACCCCGGGCGUGCGGUCGAUACGGGCAUCACUGGAGUUCGGCAGGGGAGACUGGAAUUCCUGGUGUAGCGGUGAAAUGCGCAGAUAUCAGGAGGAACACCGGUGGCGAAGGCGGGUCUCUGGGCCGAUACUGACGCUGAGGAGCGAAAGCGUGGGGAGCAAACAGG
rnacentral:rRNA from 1 species